rnacentral:rRNA from 1 species
UACGUAGGGUGCAAGCGUUAAUCGGAAUUACUGGGCGUAAAGGGCUCGUAGGCGGCCAACUAAGUCCGACGUGAAAUCCCAAGGCUUAACCUUGGAACUGCGUCGGAUACUGGAUGGCUUGAAUUCGGGAGAGGGAUGCAGAAUUCCAGGUGUAGCGGUGAAAUGCGUAGAUAUCUGGAGGAAUACCGGUGGCGAAGGCGGCAUCCUGGACUGACAUUGACGCUGAUGAGCGAAAGCUAGGGGAGCAAACGGG